CAGUCGAACGGUGAUAGCAAUAUCAUAGUGGCGCACGGGUGCGUAACACGUAUGCAACCUACCUUAUACUGAGGGAUAGCCUUUCGAAAGGGAGAUUAAUACCUCAUAACACAUUGAACUGGCAUCAGUUUAUUGUUAAAGAUUUAUUGGUAUAAGAUGGGCAUGCGUCCAAUUAGUUAGUUGGCGAGGUAACGGCUCACCAAGACGAUGAUUGGUAGGGGAACUGAGAGGUUAAUCCCCCACACUGGCACUGAGAUACGGGCCAGACUCCUACGGGAGGCAGCAGUAGGGAAUAUUGGGCAAUGGAGGCAACUCUGACCCAGCCAUGCCGCGUGCAGGAAGAAGGCGUUAUGCGUUGUAAACUGCUUUUAUAUAGGAAGAAAUAGACCUUGCGAGGUAAGUUGACGGUACUAUAUGAAUAAGCACCGGCUAACUCCGUGCCAGCAGCCGCGGUAAUACGGAGGGUGCAAGCGUUGUCCGGAUUUAUUGGGUUUAAAGGGUGCGUAGGCGGUUUAUUAAGUCAGUGGUGAAAGACGGUCGCUCAACGAUUGCAGUGCCAUUGAUACUGGUAGACUUGAGUGGGAUUGAGGUAGCUGGAAUGGAUAGUGUAGCGGGUGAAAUGCAUAGAUAUUAUCCAGAACACCAAUUGCGUANGCAAGUUACUAAGUCUCAACUGACGCUGAG
rnacentral:rRNA from 1 species